rnacentral:rRNA from 1 species
AUUGAACGCUGGCGGCAUGCUUUACACAUGCAAGUCGAACGGCAGCUCGUUCUUCGGCCUGGCGGCGAGUGGCGAACGGGUGAGUAAUACAUCGGAACGUGCCCAGUAGUGGGGGAUAGCUCGGCGAAAGCCGGAUUAAUACCGCAUACGACCUGAGGGUGAAAGCGGAGGAUCUUCGGACCUCGCGCUAUUGGAGCGGCCGACGGCAGAUUAGCUAGUUGGUGGGGUAAAGGCCUACCAAGGCGACGAUCUGUAGCUGGUCUGAGAGGACGACCAGCCACACUGGGACUGAGACACGGCCCAGACUCCUACGGGAGGCAGCAGUGGGGAAUUUUGGACAAUGGGCGAAAGCCUGAUCGAGCAAUGCCGCGUGUGUGAUGAAGGCCUUCGGGUUGUAAAGCACUUUUGGCGGGAACGAAAAGGACUGUGCGAAUCCCACGGUUCGAUGACGGUACCCGAAGAAUAAGCACCGGCUAACUACGUG